AUUUUUUUACUUUAGAGUCAAAGAAAGUUAGAGUCAGAGAGGUAAAGUGACCUGCCCAAGGUCACACCACAAAUAAUCUGGGAAAACCAGGAACGGGUCAUCUGGUCUAACGUCCAAGUGAUACUCUUCUAAUGGUCAAGCACCAUGGUUUGCAGAGAUCAGGCUUUUUUUUUUUUUUUUUUUUUAAGAUUUUAUUUAUUUAUUCAUAAGAGACACACAGAGAGGCAGAGACACAGGCAGAGGGAGAAGCAGGCUCGCUGCGGGGAGCCCUAUGCAGGGACUUGAUCCCAGGACCCCGGGGUCACGACCUGAGCGGAAGGCACCUGCUCAACCGCCGAGCCCCCCAGGCGCCCCUGGCUUGCGGAGAUCAGAAUCUCCCGCGGUGUCACUCCACUAGCCCACUGAUCCUGUCGUUGUCGCUAGGAGCGUGGUGUCAUCACUCCCAUUUUCCAGGUGGGGAGGCUGAGGCCCUCGCAAGCUGGCGGGGUUGCCCAGAGGCACGCGGCGAGCCAGCGGCACAGGCAGGAGGGCUGCAGGGCUCCGCUGCUCCCUGGGGCCUGGCCCCCCCCCCCCGGGGAGCCAGGCCUUGGACCUGCCUCCGACGGGGCCGCGUCCGCCGGGAGUGAUUUCGCAGCAGCGCCUCGGUGAGCACCUGGCGGGAAGGACGCGCAGGGCGGGCCGGGGCAGCCCCGAGCCCGGGAGGAACGACCUCUGGCUGUCCUUCAAGCCUCGACGUCAGUGCCCUCUACGUCCCUGCGGCCCACCCCCACCCCCACCCAAUUCUCCAGCUCCCGCCGUUUCCAAGCUCUUUCGGCCACGAUUUUCCAGCCUUCUCAGCGCUGGGUCUGGACCGCCGACCUGGAGGAGCCGAACUCGAUGCGAUUUGCAUAACGUGCCCGAUUGGCUCCUGCGGCCGCGGUGGGCGGGCCCCACCAACCCACCUGCCGGGGCGGAGCGCAGGACCGGGGCGGGGCUGGAGGGCCACCUGGCCGCCUCCCGGGGCCCGACGCCCGCAGCGGCCGCGGCGUGGACCGCCUACACUCCACGCAGCCGCUUCGCAAAGCGCGGCCUCCCGGAAACGUGCAUCUGCGGGACCUUCGCAAAGCAGAGCGAGAAGACCACAUCUAGUCCUGAUCUCUGGGCUACAUGGACCUCAGGCCAGCCUCCAACCAACCAUCUCCAUCUCCAGGCUAAAACACGUAAUCUCUACACCCCACAUGGAGCUCAAACUCCUGUGCCCAAGAUCAAGAGUCUCAUGCUCUGCUGACUGAGCCAGCCAGGUGCCCCUUGUAGGCACUGAUAUUGAAACAUGGGAAGAUGCAUCCAUCCAUCCCACCAAUACUGGCCCGGUUCCUACUAAGUGCCACUUUCUGUGUUACAGAAAUGAUGAGGACUCUUCAUGUCUGGAGCUCCCAGGUUUGGGGGGAGCAGACGUAAAACACAUCACAUCCCAGUGUGCUAAGUGCUGCUAAGGCCCUCCUGGCUGGGGAGGGUGGGGUGUGGCAAGCAGAAGGAAGGGGCCAUGGAGAGGUCUGGGUGACACUGGGGCAGGUAUGACAGGUCCCUCUCAGGCAGGGUGGACUGAGAUCCAGGACUCCUGGAACACCAUCUCCUCUGGAGCACCGUCUCCUCUGGCUGUGUCCUCACCAUCCACACCCAGGAUGGAGAAAUGGCCUGUUUGCUCUGAGGCUAGGGAGAGGGUGGACCUUUGGCUUCUAAACCCAGAUGAAAUAAAGGCUUAAAACUGUUGAGCA
rnacentral:lncRNA from 12 species